UGGCUACCUAGCAUCAGCACCAAAUCACUGUCAUCAACUUGGAAGAUCUCCUUGGUCAUUUACCCUUCACUAACUGCGCUGUGAACCAAGGAAGUGAAAUAACAAAGAGCCCGAAGACUGCACAGUUCCAGCUUGUAGGCCCUGGAGACAGUCUGGAGUCCUCAGACGGACAGAAAGAAGACAUCAGAAGGGCAACCUGGGGUGCCUGUGGCUGCCGAGUACAGGAUAUGAAUCAGAGAGAAAGAAGUGAAAUCUUGUCCUAGGAAGAAAGGGAGCGAUUGGCAGAAGACUUGUCUCUGGUAAGGCAAUUUACA
rnacentral:lncRNA from 1 species